AUUAGACCAUCAUCUCAACAAGAAAUAAAAAAUGUCCACCUUUACUGUAAAAGAGUGAUCAGACUUACAUGCAACCACACAUACAAAUUAUUGCUAUUGUCAAAGUUGUGACUGAGUGUUAAAAUAUGAAGAUACAUUUGUACAUGUACUUUUAGAUACUAUUUUUCCAUGGCCUAAGAUAGACAGAGACAUUUAUAACUAGUCAUACCUUUGAAGGAUCUUUCAGAUAUAACCGUUCUGCAGCUUUCGAAAAGUCAUCCCAUGAUGUUAUGUACGUCAUUAUGCCUGAGAACACUAGAAAUAUUGUAAAUAAACAGCUGUCUGCUCUCAAAGCAUGUACGUCAACAAACCGGAAGUAGUAUAAAACGGG
rnacentral:lncRNA from 1 species